rnacentral:lncRNA from 1 species
CCCUCCCGGCCACGCCCGGACGCGCUCCCUGCGGACGCGCUCGGCUGUGCGUCUCCUCGGUUUCUCUCGCGGCUCACUGGACCGUCCGUCUCCUGAGGCUCAGGUCUCCCUCCAGCGCCCCCGCCCACUCAGGCUCCAUCUCUUCCUGCGUCUCUCGGCCUCUUGCCAUCCCUCUGCCGGUGACUCUGCCCCUGGAAAAGGUGGACCCCGAGCACCUCCUGACAAGGCAAAGGUAAGUCACAUCCCGGGAGAGGGGGGAGGGGCUGGAUCUUGGGGAGAACUUCCAGCUCCAAGUCCCCAUGGGGUACAAAACCACUGCAGAGGGUGGAGCACAGGGCCCUCCUCCCCACCUGAUUGCAGGAAUAACCUUCAGGCAGCAGAGGGCACUCGGGGCCACAGAGAGCAGGAAAAUCCCAGACAUCCCUCUAGACUCCAAAGCCUAGAGAGCAGAGCAGCAGGUGGAACACAGGACGGAGGGCUGGCACCUAACCACUGGCAAAGGGCAGGAGGCCCCACCCUUUCUAUUAACUCAGGCCUGAGGUCUUCUAAAUGAGCUGAGGAGGGCUCAAAUCACAGGGCCUGGUCCCUCCACUGGAGUCUGAUGACACCUCAACCCUCAAACUCUCUCCAGAACAUGCUGCACCAACCAAAGCUCUUAGGCCCACAGCCCUGCGGUCUGAGACUGAGGGGCCUCUCCCCCUCCUUCUGUCACAACUGAAGAACGUCAGACCCCGGCUCCAUAGUGUGGACCGAGAGGGCGUUAGGCUGAAGGUCUUAUAGGAGAACCCCCCUCUCUGACCCUGGGCCUCUGGGCAGACCUGCCCCUUCUCUCAAAGCAGGAAAGGCAGCCAGAUAGCCUGGAGUGACUGGCAGAAUGCACGCUCGAGGUCAGCUGGAUGGAUGAGGAGUGAACCAAUGAGCAGACGCAAGGAGAACCAACACAGCACAGACAGGAGAGGGUGACAAGCACCACCCCGCCACCUCCAGCUAUGGGAGAUGA